rnacentral:rRNA from 1 species
UACGAGGGGUGCAAGCGUUGCUCGGAAUUAUUGGGCGUAAAGGGUUGGUAGGUGGUCUUGUUUGUCUAAGGUGAAAUCCCAUGGCUUAACUGUGGAAGUGCCUUAGAAACGGCAAGACUAGAGUCCUAGAGGGGUUUGUGGAAUUCCCGGUGUAGCGGUGAAAUGCGCAGAUAUCAGGAAGAACACCCGUGGCGAAAGCGGCUCUCUGGAACGGUACUGACGCUGAGACGCGAAAGCGUGGGGAGCGAACAGG